UUUGAACGCUGGCGGCAGGCCUAACACAUGCAAGUCGAGCGGAUGAAGGGAGCUUGCUCCUGGAUUCAGCGGCGGACGGGUGAGUAAUGCCUAGGAAUCUGCCUGGUAGUGGGGGAUAACGUCCGGAAACGGGCGCUAAUACCGCAUACGUCCUGAGGGAGAAAGUGGGGGAUCUUCGGACCUCACGCUAUCAGAUGAGCCUAAGUCGGAUUAGCUAGUUGGUGGGGUAAAGGCCUACCAAGGCGACGAUCCGUAACUGGUCUGAGAGGGUGAUCAGUCACACUGGAACUGAGACACGGUCCAGACUCCUACGGGAGGCAGCAGUGGGGAAUAUUGGACAAUGGGCGAAAGCCUGAUCCAGCCAUGCCGCGUGUGUGAAGAAGGUCUUCGGAUUGUAAAGCACUUUAAGUUGGGAGGAAGGGCAGUAAGUUAAUACCUUGCUGUUUUGACGUUACCAACAGAAUAAGCACCGGCUAACUUCGUG
rnacentral:rRNA from 1 species